AGGACCGGGAAGGACCCGGAAGGCCCUGGGGUCGCGGGUUCAGGCCGUAGCGCCGCCUCUGGGGCUGAUUCGGGCCCGCCCUGCGGCUGCGUUCGGCCCUUCGGAACUGGAGCCACUUUUCAGCUGCCGCUGGCUCCCAUCUCAGCGCUUUUGCACCGAGAGUCGGUGUUUUUGCACGCUUCUCCCAGUGUUUGACCGACUGUGCCUGGAACUGGGCCGGGGAGAGGAAGUUACAGAGGGUUUGCAAAAUAACUUCCCCUCGCUUCUGAAGGCAGAAAUGUAUGGCUCAGGAAGCAGAAGUCCUCCAUAAUCCUCUCUGAGAAGCCAUGAAUGCAGGUGCUCUUCUCUGUGUCCCGCACAUACAUCCUCUAUGUUGUGUCGUCUCUGUAAACUACUGGAGAAAUAAAUAAGGUUAUACUAUGUAUCAUGUUUGCUGCUGAGGCCAUACUGGGUCCUAAUUUCCUUUCCAGCAGUGAAGGGACUGGGCCCUUUUAAGCUAUAGACUAUGAGCACCACCAAGUCCUCAGGCAUGGGGACUUCAUUCAGCUGUCCACGUUGCCCUGUCUCAUAGUCCUUAGACCCUCACCUGUUCCUCCAGGGCGAUGGGGUGUGCUCUGAGCCUGCCGGAAGCCACCCACACUUUGCUGAUAACACUGUCAUCCUAGCCACAGCGUUCACGGCAAGAGCAGUGGUGGAGGACUCUUGGGAACCCAUCUCAGCUUCACAGAAACUGAAUUUGUAGACGUCUCUCAAGGGAAAAAGGAUACCUGGGACCAGUUUUUUUUUUACAAUACUGCUUUUCUCAGAAAAGUGAUCAUCAUAUCAUAGCUAAAUUUUUUUUUUUUUUUCUUUUUCGGCUGCCCUGCACCGUAUGGAGUUCCUUGGCCAAGGAUCAGAUCCGAGCCCGUUUUGACCUACACCGCAGCUGCGGCAACACCGGAUCCUUAACCCACUGCCUGACAAGGGAUCUUGCUGUUUGUUUGUUUGUUUAAGGGCUCUUCUGUCUUCCCCCAAAACUUGUGAGUAUAAAGAGGGUUUUCUUGAGCUGCUUUACUUGGCCAGUCAUUCAUGAAUUCACUCAACAAUUGUCUUUGAUACGCCAGCCACUGAGGACUCAAAGAGGAACAAAAGAGACAAUAUCUCUGCUCUGCAGAAACUGACAGUCUAUUGAAUGACAUAGUUGUCCAGCAAAGUGUGAUUAAUCUCUGAUGGCAGGACUCUACUCCAAGGGCACCUAACCUAGUCUGGGGCGACUGGUCAGGAAAACUUCCCGAAAGAUGAUUUUUAGGCUGAACCAGUCUGCCGACAAACCUAAGAAAGUUAUAGGAGUCAGGUGGCAAAGUUAGCAUCAUUUCUUUAGUUAGCAAUUCUUCCAAAGUAAGGCAUGAAUAUAGGGCCAGGUCCCAACAAUAUAAUAAAUGCUGGUAGGCAGGACACAGCCCAAAUUAUAUAUAACAAGAGAGAGUGGCUAUGCAAAAAGAAUGUAAAAUCGAGUACAGUUCUUUGGGUAAACCACUGUUCUGAUUGUUGAUCAUGAAAAAAUGAGCUACUUCAAACUCACAAAGUCUAAUUUUCCUAGGAAAUAGUUUACUUCAAAUAGCCUCGAACAGCGGUACUAUCUUAGAGUCUGGAAUGUUUGGGGAUGUUCUUAUGUUUUAAAUCUACUCCUUAGAAAAUAUCACAAAAAGGCAUCAUACUGAUGCAGCUAAAAAAUCAAUUCCUGAUUUACCUAAUACUCCUUACUCAGUUAUUAUGAUCAUUUUGUCUUUUUAGGGCCACACCCGCAGUAUAUGGAGGU